rnacentral:rRNA from 1 species
GGAUAACCUACCCUUAGGACCGGGAUAACCCUGGGAAACUGGGGAUAAUACUGGAUAGGCAAUUUUUCCUGUAAUGGUUUUUUGUUUAAAUGUUUUUUCGCCUAAGGAUGGGUCUGCGGCCGAUUAGGUAGUUGGUUAGGUAAUGGCUUACCAAGCCGUUGAUCGGUACGGGUUGUGAGAGCAAGAGCCCGGAGAUGGAACCUGAGACAAGGUUCCAGGCCCUACGGGGUGCAGCAGGCGCGAAACCUCCGCAAUGUGAGAAAUCGCGACGGGGGGAUCCCAAGUGCCAUUCUUAACGGGAUGGCUUUUCAUUAGUGUAAAGAGCUUUUGGAAUAAGGGCUGGGCAAGACCGGUGCCAGCCGCCGCGGUAACACCGGCAGCUCUAGUGGUAGCAGUUUUUAUUGGGCCUAAAGCGUCCGUAGCCGGUUUAAUAAGUCUCUGGUGAAAUCCUGUAGCUUAACUGUGGGAAUUGCUGGAGAUACUAUUAGACUUGAGACCGGGAGAGGUUAGAGGUACUCCCAGGGUAGAGGUGAAAUUCUGUAAUCCUGGGAGGACCGCCUGUUGCGAAGGCGUCUAACUGGAACGGUUCUGACGGUGAGGGACGAAAGUUAGGGGCGCGAACCGGAUUAGAUACCCGGGUAGUCCUAACUGUAAACGAUGCGGACUUGGUGUUGGGGUGGCUUU